GGCGKGCUUAACACAUGCAAGUCGAGCGGUAAGGCCCUUCGGGGUACACGAGCGGCGAACGGGUGAGUAACACGUGAGCAACCUGCCCCUGACUCUGGGAUAAGCGGUGGAAACGCCGUCUAAUACCGGAUAYGACCCGCCACCUCAUGGUGGAGGGUGGAAAGUUUUUCGGUCAGGGAUGGGCUCGCGGCCUAUCAGCUUGUUGGUGGGGUAACGGCCUACCAAGGCGAUUACGGGUAGCCGGCCUGAGAGGGCGACCGGCCACACUGGGACUGAGACACGGCCCAGACUCCUGCGGGAGGCAGCAGUGGGGAAUAUUGCGCAAUGGGCGAAAGCCUGACGCAGCGACGCCGCGUGGGGGAUGACGGCCUUCGGGUUGUAAACCUCUUUUACCACCAACGCAGGCUYSSAGUUYUCUKSRGGUUGACGGUAGGUGGGGAAUAAGGACCGGCUAACUACGUGCCAGCAGCCGCGGUAAUACGUAGGGUCCGAGCGUUGUCCGGAAUUAUUGGGCGUAAAGAGCUCGUAGGCGGCGUGUCGCGUCUGCUGUGAAAGACCGGGGCUUAACUCCGGUUCUGCAGUGGAUACGGGCAUGCUAGAGGUAGGUAGGGGAGACUGGAAUUCCUGGUGUAGCGGUGAAAUGCGCAGAUAUCAGGAGGAACACCGGUGGCGAAGGCGGGUCUCUGGGCCUUACCUGACGCUGAGGAGCGAAAGCAUGGGGAGCGAACAGGAUUAGAUACCCUGGUAGUCCAUGCCGUAAACGUUGGGCGCUAGGUGUGGGGACUUUCCACGGUUUCCGCGCCGUAGCUAACGCAUUAAGCGCCCCGCCUGGGGAGUACGGCCGCAAGGCUAAAACUCAAAGGAAUUGACGGGGGCCCGCACAAGCGGCGGAGCAUGUUGCUUAAUUCGACGCAACGCGAAGAACCUUACCAAGGUUUGACAUCACCCGUGGACUCGCAGAGAUGUGAGGUCAUUUAGUUGGCGGGUGACAGGUGGUGCAUG
rnacentral:rRNA from 1 species